UCUCUGAUAGUAUAUCGGUUAGUACACGCGCCUGUCAUUAGUACGCGCGAAAGCUGGGUUCGACUCCCAGUCAGAGAG